rnacentral:rRNA from 1 species
CAAUAGCGCAUAUUAAAGUUGUUGCAGUUAAAAAGCUCGUAGUUGGAUUUCGGGGCAGCCUGGCUGGUCCGCCGCAAGGCGAGUACUGGUCAGCCGCCCUUCCUCUCGAAAGCCCCGACUGCUCUUUAUUGCAGUGGUCGGGUAGUUCGGGACGUUUACUUUGAAAAAAUUAGAGUGUUCAAGGCAGGCCUACGCCUGAAUACAUUAGCAUGGAAUAAUGGAAGAGGACCUCGGUCCUAUUUUGUUGGUUUCCAGGACCGAAGUAAUGAUUAAGAGGGACAGUUGGGGGCAUUCGUAUUUAAUUGUCAGAGGUGAAAUUCUCGGAUUUAUGAAAGACGAACAACUGCGAAAGCAUUUGCCAAGGAUGUUUUCAUUAA